CUGGGAAUCUUGCACAAUGGACGAAAGUCUGAUGCAGCGACGCCGCGUGGUCGAAGAAGCCCUUCGGGGUGUAAAGACCGAUAGAUAGGGAAGAAAUCUUGACGGUACCUAUCGACAGCACCGGCUAACUACGUGCCAGCAGCCGCGGUAAUACGUAGGGUGCAAGCGUUAUUCGGAAUUAUUGGGCGUAAAGCGCGUGUAGGUGGUUAUGUAAGUCUCUAGUUAAAUUUUCUGGCUCAACCAGAAAAAUGUUAGGGAUACUGCAUGGCUAGAGGCUAUUAGAGGCAACUGGAACAAUGGGUGUAGGAGUGAAAUCCGUUGAUAUCCAUUGGAACACCAAUGGCGAAGGCAGGUUGCUGGGAUAUGCCUGACACUGAGACGCGAAAGCGUGGGUAGCGAACGGG
rnacentral:rRNA from 1 species